AUGAGGGAAUUUACUGAAUAUUCGGAUUUAGUUGCAGUCAUUCUAGUGCCAGAACAAAUAACUUAUCCUGAAAUUAAUUCCACAACCUUUAAUCAUGGGCGUGGUGGAUUUAAUCGUUUUAAGAGACGUGGUGGUCAUGCUCGUUUUGAUUGUAAUAAUGGUCGUGCUCGUUUUGAUGGUCACAGUCAAGGAGGAUAUCAUGGUCGAAACCUUUUCCACGGUCGAAACUAUUUUCGUGGUAGAGGACGUGGAAGAGGUCAUAUGAAUACUUUUAGAUUUCCUAGAUAUGACCAAAAUAAUUGGAAUCAUCAAGAAAAGGGUAAGUAUACCUAA